ensembl:lncRNA
AAACGUUGAAAUAGCAAUUUCCCGAAUACGCCACGCAACACCAUGGGGUCCAAAAAUACUUUUUCCCAUACUGACUUUGGGAAAAAGCAGUUUGUAAUCAUGCCCUUAAAUAACCCCCAUUUAAAAUAAUUUGUUAGAUUCACCAAUUGCUGAAUCCAGCAACUUUGGCCCUACCUUCAACUGCCAUAUAGUAUACCCGUCUCCCCAAACAACAACAGAAGUCUUUUUCUUGUUCCUGCAACUUUGAAUGAAAUCCAAGAGACACUAUUAGAAUACUGUCACUUCGUCAAAGCCCACUGAUAAUGUUAGUACAUUUUCAGAUCUUACACAUUUGCAGGUACUAAGUCACGCGAAAGCGAGAAACAAACUUUAACAAGAUGUGAGCAAUGAGCCGAGAUGAGUGAAACGAAGUGUGAUGAGGAAGUCGCUGCGGUACCCAAACUCCUCUCACCACAGCUCCUGUUUACCUACAAAAUUGACAGCCGGGGGAGCGGGGACUUAGCAAAGGCUUAUUGGAGCACUCACUUUUCUAAACUUGAUUUACGUUUUUUUUCAUUUACUCUGGGAUUGAGACUAUUCAUUCACAGCGCUGCCGAGGCGAUCCUCAGCCUACCCGAGGAACCAUGGGCCUCUAAACGGAGCAGCCAAUGAAAGGAAAAGGCUGUGCGUUUAUUGAGGAGUGGAUUUUUCUCUCUUUAGAGGAAUGACGUAUGAAGGCAGCUUUAUCAAUUGGGUGAUCGUAAUUACUUCAGAUAUGGUGACUUUGCUACAGAAAUGCAUGCCGUUCCAUGUUAAGACAGUAGCUCAUAUUUCCCCCACUUAAUUAACCCUUGUUCAGAGCUUCAGCUACAGUGUUCUCAUUAAGGGGAACAAUAAGCAAUCAAUUCAUACCGGGUCAACACAGAGUGACUCAUCGUUGAGUGAGUCUCUCUGCUCUGACCAGAGCGAUUGGGGGCACACAGGACAUUAACAGUGGGGAAGAUAACAGAUGAGACUGCUGAACUUUUAAGACAGAUGAUGUUAAUCUGGCCUAUUAUCCACCUUCAUCCCCUUUGUUCUAUCUGCAGUGGGAAUUGAAUUGUUGUGAAAGUCUUAGCGUGCUUCCCAGAAGACAAUCUAAAGUGUAAAGGUGAUAUUUUUCUUCCCUAAUUUUCAAAUUUUAACGAUAAGAUCGUUAUUUUGGUAACUGAUUUUGCCUUUACAGCAUAGGAUAAAAAUCAUGCUCAGGUCCUGUAUUUAACAAGCAUCAGAUUUGCAUUCCUAUAAAACACAAUUGAAUUUGAAUGUUCAAAUUUCUAGUGCAUGUGAGUCUCUGUGUGUGUGUGUGUGUGUGUGUGCGCGCCCCACUGCGGUUGCCGUAUGUUAGCAUUAUUAGGACCGUUUGCUGCUAUCCACUGUUUGAUGGAGUAAAAAUAUGAAUCCCUCCAUGAUUUAUGCAAUGAAGUAUGAUCCCUUUAAUGCUAGAUUAUUUUAACCACACAACUUGUCAGAAUACUUCCACAGAAGAGGCACUUUUUUAUCAUGCGACUUGGAAACUUAUACAUUCAAAAUCGAAAGCUUGCCUGCUCGCCCACUCGUCUUUUCUCCUUCUGUGCUCGUUCUCAAUGCAAAACUGCCAGACUGUGCAGGUUUCUGCCGAGACAUCAAUAAUUCAUAACUGAAGGGUUCAAACAAGCGUGUGUGUGUAUUUGGGUUUUGUGUGUGCGUGUGUAUGCAUAUGCAUUUUUCAAGACAGAUCCAACCCUCUAUGGUGUAAUAACAUUAAGCAUUGUAUCACUGUUUUAUUGAAGAACAAUAUGAAUUUAGUAAUUAUAUAAUGUAGCUUAUAUUUAAUUAUAGACUGUGACAUCAUCGUUUUCAGUCUUAGUAUGGGAGUUUAGGAAGUAACCAAGUAGGCUACAUUUACUCAAGUAAUUACGGGGGCCCUAAGUGCAAAACACAACGGCAAAUAAGAAAACACAACGGCAAAUAGGAACGCACAACAGCAAAUAGGAAAACACAACGACAAAUAGGAACGCACAACAGCAAAUAGGAAAACACAACGGCAAAUAGGAACGCACAACAGCAAAUAGGAAAACACAACGGCAAAUAGGAAAACACAACAGCAAAUAAGAAAACACAACGGCAAAUAGGAACGCACAACAGCAAAUAGGAAAACACAACGGCAAAUAGGAACGCACAACAGCAAAUAGGAAAACACAACGACAAAUAGGAACGCACAACAGCAAAUAGGAAAACACAACGGCAAAUAGGAACGCACAACAGCAAAUAGGAAAACACAACGACAAAUAGGAAAACACAACAGAAAAUAAGAAAACACAACGGCAAAUAGAAACGCACAACAGAAAAUAGGAAAACACAACGACAAAUAGGAAAACACAACAGCAAAUAGGAAAACACAACAGCAAAUAGGAAAACACAACGACAAAUAGGAAAACACAACAGAAAAUAAGAAAACACAACGGCAAAUAGGAACGCACAACAGAAAAUAGGAAAACACAACGACAAAUAGGAAAACACAACAGCAAAUAGGAAAACACAACAGCAAAUAGGAAAACACAACAGCAAAUAGGAAAACACAACGACAAAUAGGAAAACACAACAGCAAAUAGGAAAACACAACAGCAAAUAGGAAAACACCACGACAUUAACUUCUUACGGAAAGGGUAGGGCCUUAUAGCAGAAAGCAGAGGACGGACCCUUCUGAUUGGACAGUCGGACUGUCUGUCUUUUAACUCUUAAUCUGAAGCCGGCGACGGAAAGUGACAUGGAGGAUUCAAAUUACCGUGACUCCUUUAACUAACUUUAACUUUGCACAAUCGGUUUUUGAAAUCUGAGAAAUGCCGCUUUCUGCGGGACGCUAUGGCCGACACGGCUCGGGGACCGGAGUCCGAUUCCUUGGCGUGAGGAAUUGUAUGUGUGGCCGGAGUGCGUGACACUUGAGAGCCCUUUAUCAUUUACUGUUAAAAGACAGACAGUCCGACUGUCCAAUCAUAAGGGUCAUUCCUCUACUUCCUGCUAUAAGGCCCUACCCUUUCCGUAAGAAGUUAAUGUUGUUGUGUUUUCCUAUUUGCUGUUGUGUUUUCCUUUUUUCCGUUGUGUUUUGCACUUCAGGGCCACCGUAUGUAAUUGUACUUUGAGCGUUUCCAUGUUAUGCUACUUCAUACUUCUAUUUCCCCACUUUCUUUUUUUCUACAUUUGACACCAGGUACUAACUAUACUGCACUUUCAGAUUAUUAAAAAGAAAUAUAAAUCAAAACUGAUAAUAUACAAAACUAAAACAUAUACCAUAUUAUCCAAUAUGAUAUAUUAUUCCGAGGUUGCUCGAAGAAAGAAGACCCGUAGUCCAGCUUUACUGAUUACUCUGUCAUUACUCUUGAUUGCUUACUGUUAAUUAGCAAGACUUGAAAUAUUGUGAAGAGUGGAUGAAUCUUUUCUUCACAUUCAUUCCAACUUUGCACUCUUUCAUUCAUCACUCUGCCGUCUGAGCUUUUAUGAAGUUCAUUAUUCUCUUUAAGUGCAUACUAGUCCCCUGCUUCCCUGGGCUCUAUAGCAGAAAACCCUUGUGUCAACUUUUCUAGCUUUUGCAUCAGAGGUAGGGACAAUUUACGGCUUCAUUACACUGUGCCUGAGAUAGAGGCAUGUUAUUUAUUCAGGGGAAAAUAUAAAUAGGAGAUCAAUUCAGUGAUUUAGCUGCUGCCCUCUCCGCUGUCAGUAGAUGUGAUGGAGGGAGAGGGAGAAAUGCUAGGCUAGCUUUAGCUGGUAGUGUGGGUAGGUGAGAUAAGUGUGACUGGACUCCUUGCUGGUGCAGGAACCUGACCCAUGACCUCAGUUUGUGGAUUAUUUUUAUUUUUGCACCCAUUCAUCGUUCUCUCUGGUCACACUGUCUGGUUGUUGUAUCCCUACGUAAAUCUCGAUUUUGCGCAGACUGCAGCAAAGUCUGUUGGCUCGCGCAGCUUUGUCAGCAGUGGACCAUUUGUAAGACCUUCAGUGUGGACGAAGUGGA